rnacentral:rRNA from 1 species
GAUGAACGCUAGCGGCAGGCUUAAUACAUGCAAGUCGAGGGGCAGCACGGUUAGCAAUAACUGGUGGCGACCGGCGCACGGGUGCGUAACACGUAUACAAUCUACCUUAAACAGGGGGAUAGCCUUUCGAAAAGAGAGAUUAAUACCCCGUAAUAAAUUGAACGGCAUCGUUUGAUUUUGAAAGCUCCGGCGGUUUGAGAUGAGUAUGCGUCUGAUUAGCUAGUUGGUGAGGUAACGGCUCACCAAGGCGACGAUCAGUAGGGGAUCUGGAGAGGACUAACCCCCCACACUGGUACUGAGACACGGACCAGACUCCUACGGGAGGCAGCAGUAAGGAAUAUUGGUCAAUGGAGGCAACUCUGAACCAGCCAUGCCGCGUGCAGGAUGACGGCCCU